AAAUUCGCAAUUGUGAAAUAAUUGCCCCACAUUUUUCAUUUGGGUUUCGAUGAGGCGAUCUAAAUCACUACAACUAAAAGUCUCUAGUUUGUAAAUAAGAUGCGACAUUGAACACAAAAAACUACAACGUGAAUUUAAUUUUAUAAAUUUAGGGUGGCUGCACGUGUCAAGCAGCAAACCCAUUCUGUAUAAAAACAAACCCAUACCUACUUUCUUAUGAUAGGUUACAAAAAUUAAACUUACUAUAAUAUAAUUUUAAAAAUAACAGUCUGCCUUAUUUAUCUAACACCAUGGAUUGAACUUAUCUGUUUGUCAGAUAAAUAAUUUUCCAACUUUUGUUGUUUAGCUGUAAAUAACAAUUUGUUGUCGUGCCCUUACUUUUUGCAAACAUACACAUAUUAAAGCCAAUUACAACUUGUUUUGGUAUAACUUCUUUACUGUAAGAUGUUACGGUUUAUCUAUCUUCUGUCUAUUUUCCUCUUAAGUAAUAGUCAGCAAUGCUUAUGUCUUCAAUAUGACUAUUUUUGGCGAGAUUACAUUGAUGGUGAAGUUCCCAGAGAUGCGAUAGUCGCAGGCCGAAAUAACAACAGUGAAAAUAUUUACAUUGGGCAAGCAUACGUACAUAAACUAGGCCUCGCAACUUGUGAAAUUUUCUCUGGAGUAAAAGAAGUCUACGUUCCGAUGUAUGGAAUCCAAAAAGUAGAAGACUAUAUAAAAAUACUCUGUGGAACUCAACAAAACUUGUAUUGGAUGUCUACUACAUCUACUAGCCUUCCCACAUUACUUCUGGAUCAUGUUGCGGUGAUUGGUGGGAAUGAAGAUGGACAAAAUGGUAAAGGAACACUUUACGUUGGACGGAUACAUUUUAAUGGAGAAUUAAAAAUAGGAAAAAUUGAUACGUUCAAUGGUACCUUCAUCCAUUUCAACAAUAAUAUGAAGGAGGAACAUUCCAACUCAUACGAAAUACUUUUAUUAAAAAAAUAAUCAUGAGUAAUUUCUUAUGUGUACGCCUUUCCUCGCAAUUGAAGACAAUUAAUUUAAGCAAGAUGAAUAAAAGUUUUUAUU